rnacentral:lncRNA from 14 species
GCUGAGGGAGCGCACGGAGCCCAUGGGCCCUGCAGCAGAGCUGGGGACCGGGUUGUGGCCUUGCCUCCCGGCGAGACCCGCACGGGCCUCCCGGCGCUGUGGAGCACACGCGGCAGCGCGCACUUGGCGAGAACACCGCGCCCGACCUUCACCGAACUUCAUCCCUGCGGCCUUGCGCAGAUUGCACGCGGUGCUUUGCCGGUAGUGACACGGAGGAGUACGUUGCCAGGGCAACAGAGUGUAAGCAGGAGAAUAGCACCUUGCGAUCACAAAGACAAAUCGCAGAAGGAAAUUUCAUGGCAUCUCAUCAGCUGCACCACGGCUCAGAUCAGAGAGGCAAUCUGGGUGAGAACUGAUGGAGUGACACCCACUUCUCCUCCUUGGAAGUUAUCCAGGUAUAUUAGAUGAAAUCCACAAUAAAACCGUAGCAUGACGUUUGCA